rnacentral:rRNA from 1 species
AGAGUUUGAUCCUGGCUCAGGAUGAACGCUGGCGGCGCACUUAAGACAUGCAAGUCGAACGAACUUAACCGAAAUAUUUAUAUUUUGGAGCGGUUAGUGGCGGACUGGUGAGUAACGCGUAAGCAAUCUGCCUAUUAGAGGGGAAUAACAGUGAGAAAUCACUGCUAAUACCGCAUAUGCCAUGAACAUCGCAUGAUGAAAAUGGGAAAGGAGUAAUCCGCUAAUAGAUGAGCUUGCGUCUGAUUAACUAGUUGAUGUGGUAAUGGCAUACCAAGGUAACGAUCAGUAGCUGGACUGAGAGGUUGAACGGCCACAUUGGGACUGAGAUACGGCCCAGACUCCUACGGGAGGCAGCAGUCGGGAAUAUUGCGCAAUGGAGGAAACUCUGACGCAGUGACGCCGCGUAUAGGAUGAAGGUUUUCGGAUUGUAAACUAUUGUCAUUAGGGAAGAUAAAAGACAGUACCUAAGGAGGAAGCUCCGGCUAACUACGUGCCAGCAGCCGCGGU